ACGUUAGCGGCGGACGGGUGAGUAACACGUGGGUAACCUACCUAUAAGACUGGGAUAACUUCGGGAAACCGGAGCUAAUACCGGAUAAUAUUUCGAACCGCAUGGUUCGAUAGUGAAAGGUGGUUUUGCUAUCACUUAUAGAUGGACCCGCGCCGUAUUAGCUAGUUGGUAAGGUAACGGCUUACCAAGGCGACGAUACGUAGCCGACCUGAGAGGGUGAUCGGCCACACUGGAACUGAGACACGGUCCAGACUCCGUACGGGAGGCAGCAGCC
rnacentral:rRNA from 1 species